CCACGCCGCUCAGAAACUCAAGGAAUUGACGGGGCCCGCACAAGCGGUGAGCAUGUGGUUUAAUCGAAGCAACGCGAAGAACCUUACCAGGCCUUGUACAUGCAGAGAACUUUCCAGAGAUGGAUUGGUGCCUUCGGGAACUCUGACACAGGUGCUGCAUGGCUGUCGUCAGCUCGUGUCGUGAGAUGUUGGGUUAAGUCCCGUAACGAGCGCAACCCUUGUCCUUAGUUACCAGCACGUUAUGGUGGGCACUCUAAGGAGACUGCCGGUGACAAACCGGAGGAAGGUGGGGAUGACGUCAAGUCAUCAUGGCCCUCACGGCCUGGGCUACACACGUGCUACAAUGGUCGGUACAAAGGGUUGCCAAGCCGCGAGGUGGAGCUAAUCCCAUAAAACCGAUCGUAGUCCGGAUCGCAGUCUGCAACUCGACUGCGUGAAGUCGGAAUCGCUAGUAAUCGUGAAUCAGAAUGUCACGGUGAAUACGUUCCCGGGCCUU
rnacentral:rRNA from 1 species